GAGGGGCAUCGGGGCGAGGAGCAAUCCUUGCCGCCGGCGACCGGCGCACGGGUGAGUAACGCGUAUGCGACCUGCCCGUUGCAGGGGGAUAAUCGGGAGAAAUCCCGUCUAAUACCGCGUAACGCCGCGGGGCUGCAUGGCCCUGCGGCCAAAGGAAGCGAUUCCGGCAACGGAUGGGCAUGCGUGACAUUAGCUAGUUGGCGGGGCAACGGCCCACCAAGGCGACGAUGUCUAGGGGUUCUGAGAGGAAGGUCCCCCACACUGGUACUGAGACACGGACCAGACUCCUACGGGAGGCAGCAGUGAGGAAUAUUGGUCAAUGGGCGCGAGCCUGAACCAGCCAAGUCGCGUGAGGGAUGACGGCCCUACGGGUUGUAAACCUCUUUUGUCGGGGAGCAAAUUCCGCCACGUGUGGCGGAGUCGAGAGUACCCGAAGAAAAAGCAUCGGCUAACUCCGUGCCAGCAGCCGCGGUAAUACGGAGGAUGCGAGCGUUAUCCGGAUUUAUUGGGUUUAAAGGGUGCGUAGGCGGACUGUCAAGUCAGCGGUAAAAUACGGGGGCUCAACCUCCGCCCGCCGUUGAAACUGACGGUCUUGAGUGGGCGAGAAGUAUGCGGAAUGCGUGGUGUAGCGGUGAAAUGCAUAGAUAUCACGCAGAACUCCGAUUGCGAAGGCAGCAUACCGGCGCCCAACUGACGCUGAAGCACGAAAGCGUGGGUAUCGAACAGGAUUAGAUACCCUGGUAGUCCACGCAGUAAACGAUGAAUACUAGCUGUCCGGGGCGAAUGAGCCCUGGGUGGCACAGCGAAAGCGUUAAGUAUUCCACCUGGGGAGUACGCCGGCAACGGUGAAACUCAAAGGAAUUGACGGGGGCCCGCACAAGCGGAGGAACAUGUGGUUUAAUUCGAUGAUACGCGAGGAACCUUACCCGGGCUCAAACGACAUAGGAACGUACCUGAAAGGGUUCGGCUCUACGGAGCUUGUGUCGAGGUGCUGCAUGGUUGUCGUCAGCUCGUGCCGUGAGGUGUCGGCUUAAGUGCCAUAACGAGCGCAACCCCCAUCGACAGUUGCUAACAGGUCAGGCUGAGGACUCUGUCGAGACUGCCGGCGCAAGCUGCGAGGAAGGCGGGGAUGACGUCAAAUCAGCACGGCCCUUACGUCCGGGGCGACACACGUGUUACAAUGGCAGGUACAGCGGGAAGCCACCUGGCGACAGGGAGCGGAACCCGAAAGCCUGUCUCAGUUCGGAUUGGAGUCUGCAACCCGACCCCAUGAAGCUGGAUUCGCUAGUAAUCGCGCAUCAGCCACGGCGCGGUGAAUACGUUCCCGGGC
rnacentral:rRNA from 1 species